GGCGAGAUGGCCGAGCGGUCUAAGGCGCCAGACUAAGGACCAGCACCUUGUGAGGUGCACUGGAUAUCUGGUCCUCCGGGGCGUGGGUUCGAAUCCCACUCUCGUCA